rnacentral:rRNA from 1 species
AUUGAACGCUAGCGGCAUGCUUUACACAUGCAAGUCGAACGAGUGGCGGACGGGUGAGUAAUAUAUGGGGACCUGCCCGAUAGCGGGGGAUAACUACUGGAAACAGUGGCUAAUACCGCAUACUAUCGGAGGCGCCCAUAUGGGAUUAGCUAGUGGGUGGGGUAAAGGCUCACCAAGGCAACGAUCCGUAGCUGGUGUGAGAGGAUGACCAGCAACACUGGGAAUGAGAAACGGCCCAGACUCCUGCGGGAGGCAGCAGUGGGGAAUGUUGGACAAUGGGGGGAACCCUGAUCCAGCCAUCCCGCGUGUAUGAGAAGGCCUUCGGGUUGUAAAGUACUUUUGGCAGAGAAGCGGUAUCUGCAGAAUAAGCACCGGCUAACUACGUGCCAGCCGCCGCGGUAAUUC